UCGGGGGCCUGACCUGCCCAGUGACAUCUGUUUAAACGGCCGCGGUAUCCUAACCGUGCAAAGGUAGCAUAAUCACUUGUUCUCUAAAUAGGGACUUGUAUGAAUGGCCACACGAGGGUUUUACUGUCUCUUACUUCCAAUCAGUGAAAUUGACCUUCCCGUGAAGAGGCGGGAAUAACCAAAUAAGACGAGAAGACCCUAUGGAGCUUUAAUUAACUGAUUCACAAAAAAUAACAUACAAACCUAACCCCCAGGGACAACAAAACUUUUGAUUGAAUCAGCAAUUUCGGUUGGGGUGACCUCGGAGAACAAAACAACCUCCGAGUGAUUUAAAUCUAGACUAACCAGUCAAAAUACAUAAUCACUUAUUGAUCCAAACCAUUGAUCAACGGAACAAGUUACCCUAGGGAUAACAGCGCAAUCCUAUUCCAGAGUCCAUAUCGACAAUUAGGGUUUACGACCUCGAUGUUGGAUCAAGACAUCCUAAUGGUGCAACCGCCCUUAAUUAUAGGCCUUCGACUUCCCCGUAAAAA
rnacentral:rRNA from 1 species